rnacentral:rRNA from 1 species
AGGUCCGGCUGGGGAGCGGAACGGCAUGGGAGGGCCGGCCGCAGCGGGUGACAGCCCCGUACGCGAACCCAGACCGGACGGCGCGACGCGGUCCCUGAGUAGGGCCGGGCACGUGAAACCCGGUCCGAACCUGGGUGGACCACCAUCCAAGCCUGAGUACUACCCUGUGACCGAUAGCGCACCAGUACCGUGAGGGAAAGGUGAAAAGCACCCCGGGAGGGGAGUGAAACAGUACCUGAAACCGUGCGCCCACGAGCAGUCGGAGCAACUUUCAGUUGUGACGGCGUGCCUUUUGUAGAAUGAGCCAGCGAGUCGCUGGCGCGGGGCGAGGUUAACCGAAAGGGAGCCGGAGCGAAAGCGAGCCUUAACAGGGCGACUUGAGUCCCGCGCCGCGGACGCGAAGCCGGGUGAGCUAUCCGUGGGCAGGCUGAAGCGGGGGUAAGACCCCGUGGAGGGCCGAACGCACGUCGGUUGAAAACGGCGGCGAUGACCUGCGGAUAGGGGUGAAAGGCCAAUCAAACCCGGAGAUAUCUCGUUCUCCCCGAAAUAGCUUUAGGGCUAGCGUCGCGCGUUCACCGCCGGAGGUAGAGCACCGGAUGGACGAGGGGGCUUCGCCGCCUACCGAAUCCAACCGAACUCCGAAUGCCGGCGGCCCAGAGCGCGGCAGUCAGAGCAUGUGGGCUAAGCUGUGUGCUCGAGAGGGAAACAGCCCGGACCGCCCGCUAAGGUCCCCAAGUUCCAGCCGAGUGGCAAAGGAUGUGCGUCCGCCCAGACAACCAGGAUGUUGGCUUAGAAGCAGCCAUCCAUUCAAAGAGUGCGUAACAGCUCACUGGUCGAGUGGACAUGCGCCGACAAUACACGGGGCUAAGCUGGACACCGAAGCGGCGGGAUUUUAAUUCAUUAGAAUCGGUAGGGGAGCUUCCCAUGGGCGGAGAAGCCGGAGGGCGACCGACGGUGGAGCGCAUGGGAGUGAGAAUGCUGGCAUGAGUAGCGAGAGACGAGAGAGUAACUCGUCCGCCGUGAACCCGAGGUUUCCUGGGCAAGGCUAAUCCUCCCAGGGUCAGUCGGGGGCUAAGGCGAGGCCGGUAGGCGUAGCCGACGCGCAGCAGGCAGACAUUCCUGCACCGCGCACGCGGCGCUACGACCGACGGGGCGACGGAUGGGGGUGGCUCGGCGGGGUUCUGGACGUCCCCGUGAUGGAGCGCGGCCCGCGGACCAGGGAAAUCCGGUCCGCAGAAGGGCGAGGCUCCGGACGAAGCGACUGAGCGAAGCGAGUGAGCCCGAGGUCCCUAGAAAAACCCCUAGGCAGGCGCGUGCGCGCCCGUACCGCAAACCGACACAGGUGGGUGGGUAGAACAUACCGAGGCGAUCGGGUCAACCAUGGUCAAGGAACUCGGCACAAUGGCCCCGUAACUUCGGGAGAAGGGGUGCCCGCGCGUACGUGAACGGACUUGCUCCGGGAGCGGAGGCGGGCCGCAGUGGAGAGGCCCAAGCGACUGUUUACCAAAAACACAGGACUCUGCAGAAGCCGCAAGGCGACGUAUAGGGUCUGACGCCUGCCCGGUGCCGGAAGGUCACGCGGAGGAGUUAGCCAUUAAGGCGAAGCCCCGAAGCCAAGCCCCGGUAAACGGCGGCCGUAACUAUAACGGUCCUAAGGUAGCGAAAUUCCUUGUCGGGUAAGUUCCGACCUGCACGAAAGGCGCAACGACUUGGGCGCUGUCUCGACCAUGGACCCGGUGAAAUUGCACUGGUCGUGAAGAUGCGACUUACCCGCGGAAGGACGGAAAGACCCCGUGAACCUUCACUGCAGCUUGGCAUUGGCCGCUGGUCCCGCGUGUAGAGGAUAGGCAGGAGGCGCAGAUCCGGAGGCGCCAGCCCCCGGGGAGCCGCCCUUGGAAUACUGCCCUCGCGCGACCGGCGUCCUAACCCGAGGCCGUCAACCGGCUCGGGGACCGUGCCAGGCGGGCAGUUUGACUGGGGCGGUCGCCUCCUAAAGGGUAACGGAGGCGCGCGAAGGUCCGCUCGGGACGGUCGGCAACCGUCCUUUUGAAUGCAAGAGUACAAGCGGGCUUGACUGCGAGGCCCACAAGCCGAGCAGGUGCGAAAGCAGGCUCUAGUGAUCCGGCGGCCCC